CAAGACAUAAUCGCGCGUGCGGGGAGGGGUGGCGGUCACGUGGUCAGGGAGCCGAGCGCUGGGGCGUAGGGGACCGCGGCUUGGAACUCCGGACGGCUGCAAGCCUGCUCAGGCUGCUUGUCUUCAUCGCCUUCUUUCGCUGUGCGCGGACCACACGGUGGAACUGUAGCGGCGAAAGCGACUGAGGUCUGGGCGCAAUUAUCUGUAACCUCCUGGCGACCCUGCAAGAAGACGCGUUAUUACAAGAUACUGAAUAUAGUUCCCUGCUCUAUACAGGGAACACAAGUAAGAAUGGAGGGUGCUCUUCCCCCCGCCCCACCCCGAAGGUAACAAAGGAUCAAGGUUUUCUCCGUGAAAUAGCCGCAGAAUGUAAACUGAAGCUGCUGGCAUUUCCCUGAGAGUUUUACUGGCUCAGCUCAAGAACCACCUCCUCCAAGUUGUCUUCCUGGAUUUACUCAGCCUAAAGUAAUCCUUCUUUUUCCUAGGUAUUGUUAUAGAUGCUGAGGCUUCAUCUGUGAACAAGACCGACCAAGUCUCUGACCUCAUGGAGCUUAUUUCAUAUGUGGGCAACAGAUAAUAAGGACGACUACACCUCUUCACGGGAAUUCUCGGAUCCUUGAAACAACACUUUAAGGGCUCAGCACAAUGGACAUAGAAACAGCAGUGGUCGAUGACUGCAUUGAUCCAAAUUUGGAAGUUGUGUGGCAGAAGAACCCCACCACCUAACACACAAAGACGUCCAACUAGCUGAAGGUUCUGGAUUCUCAAGUGCUAAGGGAAUAAUGACUGGAGUGUGGGUUGGUCAGGAGAGGCCGCCUGGAGAAUGUCUCCAGCCGGAUGGUGAAGGGCUGGUAGAGUUUCGAUGGCAAGGGCUUCCCCGAGUUGAGGAAGAGGGCUUGGGCACGAGCCAGAGCACACAGCGCCUGUAAUAAGCUAGAGGCGAGGCUAGAGGUUUCAUGCUUAGAGCAAAGCCUGGAAUUCCCCUCUCUUUUUCUGUCCAGGUGGUCAGAAAUAAACCACAGAGGUUCCAGAAACACAGAGAUCGGAAAUGUUCACUCUAGGAAAGUGCACUGGGCCAGAAGUGAAGAGCUACGAUCUCUGAUCCUGGUUCUACCACCGAUUUGUCCCAUAAUGGUGGGCAGUUCGUGUAAACCUUUUUUAGACCAUUUUCUUGCCAGUUAGACAGAGAUAGAUAUAUAAUCAGACUACCACACGGAGCUGGUGGGAGGAGUCAGUGAAAGCUUACAAAUACCCAUCAAAUGUAAGUUACUGAGAUACUAUUAUUAAAAUGUACUCGUGGAGACACUAGUACAGGUCUUCCUUCCAUUCUCUUUGGCCUCUUUAGCCAACACUCAACAUGAAUUUCACGAGAGGUUGCUGGUUGCCUUUCUAAAAACAUAUUUAACCAGUUUCUUCAAAAUUUGAAGGUCGAAAUUCUAAACUUUGUAACAAUCUAAAAAGGAAUUUAAGGCAAUCUUAUGACACUGUUGCGGAGGUUCCAGGCUUCCUCUUAUAAUGCAUGGAAGGUUUUCAAGCAACUGUUCUCUUUGACUAGCCCAGAAAAAUCCUCCUUCCUUCAUCUCCUUGAAUCUAGCCUGCAUAUCUGAGAGAAUUCUGAUUAUAGUUUAUACAGUAUAACAUUGGUGCCUAAGGGCCAUUCCCUUAGCCAUUCCCUUUACACCUGUGUUGAAUGAAGGGGUUGGUGGAAGUUCAAAUCUGUGUGUUAACAUAUGACUUUAAUUGGAGACUGAAGAUGACCGCUUGUUAAUAAUUUGGCAUAUGAAUCAUUUAAAAAACAAAACACUUCUGGUGAAGAGAGGUGCUAGAAUUCAUCCUCAUCCCCUCCUCCUGAAUGUGUAUUUUACCUAAAAUCACACAGAUUUUCUGAACAAGUUUAACAGUGUGCUAUAACAUAAUUGCAAUAUUAUACCAGAAGCAUUAUCAAUGCUAAGUACUCUCCAGUUUAGAAUGCAUGAAUAAAUUCUCUAAAACUCUUGAGAAGAGUAUCCAUUUUCCCAGCUAAAUAAUCUUUAAGUUCAAAAGGUAAAAUGAAUAUUUCUUCUUAUAUGAAAUAUGGCUUCAUGGGAGUAGAGUUUUGAUAAGCAUUUGUGAACUCCCUGCUGGUAGAUUUAAAAACCUCCUUGGCAAUCGCAUGGCAACUAAGGAUACAAUGUCCCCUUCUACCUAGGGGCCAAGACAUGGUGUUUGCAGAAUUAUGUAUCCAUUAAGGUAACAUUAGCUCUGUCAGUUUCAACAUUUGGCAUCCAAGGUCACCCUGGAUGCUGGCAACCAGCCAGUAGAUGGGAAAAGAGAAAGAGUAGAGAAGGCAUGUGAGCUUCUUAGACUGGCCUCAAUGUCACCCACACCCCUUCCACCAACAUUCCGUGGGAGAAGAUUUGUCGGAAAGGCCCCACCUAGAUGCACAGGGAACUGAGAAAUGGUAGUUCCUGUCUACAGAGCCACUUCCCAACCACAACUCAAGCAUGAUGGAAGGGCAAUACAGAUAUUUGGAGGCUAGCUAAGUGACUUUGUCACAGUUGUACUGUGGCAGUUACUAAUUUCUUGUCUCAGCUCCAAACCUCCAGACCCUGCUUUGUGAUGCUGGCAGUAGGGCACUACAAACCACGUCUCUGCUUUGUUGGCUGACUCUAUGUUAGGUUCUGCUAAUAGGGGGCAGUAGAGGGAGACAGCAAAGCUGGAGAAGGAAGAGACUUACUCCUACCUGUUUGCUUACCGUGGGUUUUCCUGUCUGCUUGUGGUUCCUGUAUCACCAUAGCCUUGCGUCGUCACCCUGGAAACAGCAGUGCCUUCCUAUAGCAUCAGCUGAAUCUGGUUGCAGUUUUUCCACCAUUUGGACGAAUCAGCUUCAUUGUGUCUGCUGAGAGACACCACCAACCACCUUGUGCCUCCCUCUUCAGAAAUCUGGGUCCAGCACCACAGGGACCUUCCUCCAAGCUCAGAGGUCUCAGUACCAGUUGGCAAGUGCCCCCUUUUCAGAAGUCUGAGGUUUAGCUCCAGGGACCCCGUCUCCCAAGUUUUAGUAAUUCAACCACUUCUCUCCCCCUGCCCCCUGCCGCCUGCCCUGCUGCCUAAGGGUAAUAGCUGCUUCCUGCCGUUUUUACCUUUGUGAAACCUUAGAGAAGCCCUAGCCAAUAAAAAUAUAAUGUGAAUACUAGUCUUUAAUUCUCUAGUAGCCACAUUUUAAAAAAGUAAAAAGAAAUGGUGAAAUUAAUUUUAAUGAUAUAUUGUGUAUAACCCAAUCUGAUCUGCUUUCAUUUUAGCAUAUGAUCACUAUAAAAAUUAUUGAGAUAUUUUUAUAUGAAGUCUUUGAAGUCUGGUGUGUAUUUUACACUUACAGCACAUUUCAAUUUGGAGGGUAAAUUUCACCAGAAAUACUUGAUCUGCCUUAGAUUUCAUAAAAUUUAGAGUUAAAAAUAUAGAUUCACCAGCUCAUGUUGUUCCAAACAUACAUAAUUCUAAUAACUGAAUUGAGUAUCAAUUUGUAACUUUUUAUUUGGAAAAAACUGUGCACUCACAAGAAGUUGCAAAAAAUACUACAGAGAGGUUCUAUGUACCUACCACCCGGCUUCCCCCAUUAGUGACAUCUUCCAUGAUUUUAGUCAUUGUCAAAACCAGAAAAUUAAUUGGCACAACACAGUUAAGUAGAUUACAGACCCUAAUCAGAUUUCCCCAGUUUUUAUAUGCACUUAUUUCUUGGUAUGUCUUUGUGAUUAUAUGGCAUUUUAUUGCUUGUACAGAUUUGUAUAACCACUUCACCACCACAGUCAAGAGACAGAACUCUUCCAUCACUACAAAGGAUAUUCCUCAUGCUGCCCCUUUAUUGUUACUUCUCCCCUCCCCUACACUGAGCCCCUGGCAACCACUUAUAUGUUCUCCAUCUCUACAAUUUUGUCCCAGGGUAAUGGAAAUAAAAACAAAAAUAAAAAAAUGGGACCUAAUUAAACUCAAAAGCUUUUGCACUGCAAAGGAAACCAUAACCAAAACAAAAAGGCAAGCCACAGAUUGGGAGAAAAUAUUUGCAAAUGACGUGACCGACAAGGGAUUAGUCUCCAGAAUUUACAAACAGCUCAUGCAGCUCAAUAUCAUCAAAACAAACAACCCAAUCAAAAAAUGGGCAGAAGACCUAAAUAGACAUUUCUCCAAAAAAGACAUACAGGUGGCCAAGAGGCACAUGAAUAGACAUUCAGCAUCGUUAAUUAUUAGAGAAUUGCAAAUUAAAAUUACAAUGAGAUAUCACCUCACACCAGUCAAAAUGGCUAUCAUCAAAAAAUCCACGAACAAUAAAUGCUGGAGAGGAUGUGGAGAGAAGGGAACCCUCCUACACUGUUGGUGGGAAUGUAAAUUGGUGCUGCCACUAUGGAGAACAGUAUGGAGGUUCCUUAAAAAACUAAUAGAGCUACCAUAUGAUCCUGCAACCCACUCCUGGGCAUAUAUCCAGAGAAAACCAUAAUUCAAAAAGUUACAUGCACCCCAAUGUUCAUUGCAGCACUAUUUACAAUAGCCAAGACAUGGAAGCAACCUAGAUGUCCAUUGACAGAGGAAUGGAUAAAGAAGAUGUGGCACAUAUAUACAAUGGAAUAUUACUCAGCCAUUAAAAAGAAUGAAAUAAUGCCAUUUGCAGCAACAUGGAUGGACCUAGAGAUUGUCAUACUGCGUGAAGUAAGUCAGACAGAGAAAGAGAAAUAUAUGAUAUCACUUAUAAAUGGAAUCUAAAGAGAAAUGAUACAAAUGAACUUAUAAAACAGAAACAGACUCACAGAUCUAGAGAAGGAACUUAGGGUCACCGGGGGGAAGGGUGAGCAGAAGAGAUAGUUAGGGAGUCUGGGAUUGACAUGCACACACUGCUGUAUCUAAAGUGGAUAACCAACAAGGACCUACUGUAUAGCACAGGGAACUCCGCUCAAUAUUAUGUAACAACCUAAGUGGGAUAAGAAUUUGAAAAAGAAUAGAGACAUGUAUAUGUAUAACUGAAUUACUUUGCUGUACACCUGAAACUAUCACAACAUUGUUAAUCAACUAUAAUAUAAAAUUUAAAAAAAUAAAUAAUUCCUUAAGAAAAAGAAUGUUAUAUAAAUGUCAUCCUAUAGUAUGUAAUGUUUUGAAAUUGGCUUUUCUUUUUUCACUCAGCAUAAUGCCCUUAAGAGCCAUCCAAGUUGUUGGGUAUAUCAGUGGUUUGUUCCUUCUUAUUGCUGAAUAAUAUUCCAUAGUAUGGAUGUACCACAAUGUGUUUAACCACUCACCUGUUGAAGGACAUUUGGUUUGUUUUCAGGUUUCAAGUUGUGUGAGCAUUUGAGUAUAGGUUUCUGUGUGGGCCUAAGUUUUCAUUUCUCUGGGAUAAAUGCCCAGGAGUGUGAUUGCUGGGUCGUAGGUAACUCUGUGUUUAAUUGUCAGAAUGAUUUCCAGAGUGGCUGUACCGUGUUUCAUUCUGACCAACAGUGAUAACACGAUCCAGUUUAUCGGCAUCCCUAUCAACAUUUGGUGUUAUCAGUGCUUAAUUUUAACCAUUUGAAUAGGUAUGUAGUCUCAUCUCAGUGUGUUCUUAUUUGUGUUUGCCCAACGACUAGUGAUGUUGGACAUCUUUUCAUGCAUUUAUUUGCCAUCUGUAUAUCAUCUCUGGUGAAGUAUCUGUUCAAGUCUUUUCCCAUUAAAAAUUUGGGUGGUUGGUUUCUUACAGUUGAGUUUUAAGAGUUCUUGAUAUAUUCUGUAGACAAAUCCUUUGUUAGAGAUGUGAUCUGCAAAUAUAUUCUCCCAGUCCAUAGCUUGUCUUUUUAUCUUCUUAACAGGGUUUUUCACAGAGCAAAACUUUUUCAUCCUAAGGAAGUUCAAUUUAGUGAUUUUUUUCUUUUAUGUAUUGUGCUUUUAGUGUCAUGUGUAAGAAUUCUUCACCUAACCCUAGGUCAUGAAUAUUUUCUGCUAUGUUUCAUUCUAAAAUUUUAUAAUUUUACAUUUAAAUCUGUGAUCCAAUUUGAGUCUUUUUUUUUUUUUUUUUUUUUUUUUUUUUUUUGCAGUACACGGGCCUCUCACUGUUGUGGCCUCUCCCGUUGCGGAGCACAGGCUCCAGACGCGCAGGCUCAGCGGCCAUGGCUCACGGGCCCAGCCGCUCCGCGGCAUGCGGGAUGUUCCCGGACUGGGGCACGAACCCGUGUCCCCUGCAUCGGCAGGCGGACUCUCAACCACUGCGCCACCAGGGAAGCCCCUGGGUCAAUUUUUAUUCUGUGAAAAAUGGAAUCCUGCCAACAACCAUGUGACUGAACUUGGAAGCAGACCCUUCCCAGUAGAGCCUUCGGAUGAGGUGACAUCCCUGGCCAGCGCCUUCACUGCGGGCUUGCGAGAGGCCCUGAAGCAGAAGACCCAGCUAAGCCACGCCUGGAUUCCUGAAAACCAGACUGCGCUCUGCCAGGAUCUCUAGAGCCUCGCAUUGGUCAACGCCCCUGAAGAGGGCAGAGUCCAGCCUCAGGCCUCUAGCCCACCCUCUUCCUGGGAAGAAAAUGCCUCUGCUCCGAAGGCAGCCAGCACAUAUUUUACUCACAACAGUCGGCAGAUGGCUGUGAAUCCCUUCUGUUCCCAGGAAUCACAUCGGAACUAACCGCGCUGUGCAUUUUCCAUCACUGGUAGCUAUCCCAACGUGACGUGGGACAUCGUUAUUAAUAGGUGAAGGACAAAGAGAGAGGGGAAGUGGCUUGGGCUGAGUCACACAGCAAAGUUAGAACUCUGAUCUCCCAGCAACUACCGUCGCCCUGGGCUCUGUCCCACACACCUGGCAGCUCCAGAGACUUGCUCCUUUUUGUACUCUGGGCAACGAACUCUCUAGCUAACCAAGCGGGUCUGACUUGUCUUACAGAGAAAUGAAGCAAAAUCUUCUUCGGGAUGGUGUAUUAUGAUCUUUCGGUUUCUACUGGUUGGCAAGAAACCGAGUCCCCACUACUUACUGAAUGACCUGGAACACAUCAUCGAAAGUUUCUGGACCCUCAGUUUUCCCUUCAGUAAAAUGUAGACAAGAUUUAUUGGUGCCUACCCCCAGAGAAGCUGGGUGCGCUAGGGAGAGGAGUGGGGUGCCCUUAUCCAGUCUAUUCUGCGUUACCCUUUACACGGGUGAACUUCAAACCUGGCUGAGCAUGGUAAUCACAUGGUGGCCUUUAAAAAUACAAAUUCCUGGGCCUUGCCCAGCCUGGCUUACUUGGAUUUCUUCUCCUUUCUCCCGGCCAAGUGGCCCCCAGGGUGAAGGGAACCCCCUUGAUUUGAGCAUCGGGGUGGUCUUUAACUUUUCUAUGUAAAUCCUCUCCAACUCAGCUUAAAGGAACCUUUGCUACGAGAUGGGAAGCAUUGCGUUCUGUCUCCUUUGAGCUCUCCCUUGGACUCACUGUUCCCCCAAUUUUGGCACUUCUCAAAUACUGCUUGUUAUUUUUACUUAACUGUUUCAAAUCUUUGCCUCUUGUUUCCUCAGUUAGCUACUGGAGGGUAAAAACCAUGACCUACCCUUCUCUUAUUGCCCCGCAAAUGCCAGCUCCAUUAGCACCUAGUAUCUCUUCAGUAAAUAUUUGUUGAAUGGCAAAUCUUGUAAUUCGGAAAUCUGAAAUAAUUUCUUAUUUAUUUGGGAGACGCUCUGUGUCCUUUGGAAGCUUUCUGGUCACAUGGAAAGAACUUUAAACAAAGAGGCAAGAGCCCUAGCUUCCAGUCUUGGCUCUGUCACAAACUCCCAUUGUGACCUGCAGCAAGUCGCUCGCCUUCUCUAGCCCUUGGUUCCCUCACUUGUGAAACCGGGGCUGAUCUGUAAAGUUUCUUUUAGCUUUGGAUUUUUUGGCUACUCUAGAUAGCAAGGGCAGCCUUUUUCAUGUCAAUGUCUUUAAUGCCCACCAUGCCUAAUUUUUUUUCCUCUAAGGACUACAUAAUCGAUGGAUCAUCUCCAGUUUAUAAAAUGAGAAACUCAAGUAAAGAACAAGUAAAUGCUUUG